rnacentral:rRNA from 1 species
AACGAACGCUGGCGGCAGGCCUAACACAUGCAAGUCGAGCGAACCGCAAGGUUAGCGGCGGACGGGUUAGUAACGCGUGGGAACGUGCCCAAAGGUACGGAAUAGCCUCGGGAAACUGAGAGUAAUACCGUAUGUGCCCGAAAGGGGAAAGAUUUAUCGCCUUUGGAUCGGCCCGCGUUGGAUUAGGUAGUUGGUGGGGUAAUGGCCUACCAAGCCGACGAUCCAUAGCUGGUUUGAGAGGAUGAUCAGCAACACUGGGACUGAGACACGGCCCAGACUCCUACGGGAGGCAGCAGUGGGGAAUCUUAGACAAUGGGGGAAACCCUGAUCUAGCCAUGCCGCGUGAGCGAUGAAGGCCUUAGGGUUGUAAAGCUCUUUCACCGGUGAAGAUGAUGACGGUAACCGGAGAAGAAGCCCCGGCUAACUUCGUGCCAGCCGCCGCAGUAACAC